AACCGCCACCGUCUCAGCCUGAAGGCGCCCGAUCUCGUCUGAUCUCGGAAGCUAAGCAGGGUCGGGCCUGGUUAGGAUCUUGGAUGGGAGACCACCUGGGAAUCCCGGGUGCUCGAGGCUU
ensembl:rRNA 5S_rRNA 5S ribosomal RNA